GACGAACGCUGGCGGCGUGCCUAAUACAUGCAAGUAGAACGCUGAAGGAGGAGCUUGCUCUUCUGGAUGAGUUGCGAACGGGUGAGUAACGCGUAGGUAACCUGCCUGGUAGCGGGGGAUAACUAUUGGAAACGAUAGCUAAUACCGCAUAACAGUAGAUGUUGCAUGACAUUUGCUUAAAAGGUGCAAUUGCAUCACUACCAGAUGGACCUGCGUUGUAUUAGCUAGUUGGUGGGGUAACGGCUCACCAAGGCGACGAUACAUAGCUGACCUGAGAGGGUGAUCGGCCACACUGGGACUGAGACACGGCCCAGACUCCUACGGGAGGCAGCAGUAGGGAAUCUUCGGCAAUGGACGGAAGUCUGACCGAGCAACGCCGCGUGAGUGAAGAAGGUUUUCGGAUCGUAAAGCUCUGUUGUAAGAGAAGAACGAGUGUGAGAGUGGAAAGUUCACACUGUGACGGUAUCUUACCAGAAAGGGACGGCUAACUACGUG
rnacentral:rRNA from 1 species